CUACGUGCCAGCAGCCGCGGUAAUACGUAGGUGGCGAGCGUUGUCCGGAAUCAUUGGGCGUAAAGGGAGCGCAGGCGGGCCGGUAAGUCUUACUUAAAAGUGCGGGGCUCAACCCCGUGAUGGGAGAGAAACUAUCGGUCUUGAGUACAGGAGAGGAAAGCGGAAUUCCCAGUGUAGCGGUGAAAUGCGUAGAUAUUGGGAAGAACACCAGUGGCGAAGGCGGCUUUCUGGACUGCAACUGACGCUGAGGCUCGAAAGCCAGGGGAGCGAACGGGAUUAGAUACCCCGGUAGUCCUGGCCGUAAACGAUGGAUACUAGGUGUAGGAGGUAUCGACCCCUUCUGUGCCGGAGUUAACGCAAUAAGUACCCCGCCUGGGGAGUACGACCGCAAGGUUGAAACUCAAAGGAAUUGACGGGGGCCCGCACAAGCGGUGGAGUAUGUGGUUUAAUUCGACGCAACGCGAAGAACCUUACCAGGUCUUGACAU
rnacentral:rRNA from 1 species